rnacentral:rRNA from 4 species
AAGGAACGUUGAAGACGACGACGUUGAUAGGCCGGGUGUGUAAGCGCAGCGAUGCGUUGAGCUAACCGGUACUAAUGAACCGUGAGGCUUAACCUUACAACGCCGAAGGUGUUU